GACGAACGCUGGCGGCGUGCUUAACACAUGCAAGUCGAGCGGUAAGGCCUCUUCGGGGGUACACGAGCGGCGAACGGGUGAGUAACACGUGGGUGACCUGCCUUCAGCUCUGGGAUAAGCCUGGGAAACUGGGUCUAAUACCGGAUAGUCACUGGCUGCUUCAUGGUGGGUGGUGGAAAGUUUUUUCGGCUGGAGAUGGGCCCGCGGCCUAUCAGCUUGUUGGUGGGGUGAUGGCCUACCAAGGCGACGACGGGUAGCCGGCCUGAGAGGGCGACCGGCCACACUGGGACUGAGACACGGCCCAGACUCCUACGGGAGGCAGCAGUGGGGAAUAUUGCGCAAUGGGCGGAAGCCUGACGCAGCGACGCCGCGUGGGGGAUGACGGCCUUCGGGUUGUAAACCUCUUUCGACCAGGACGAAGCUUUUUGUGACGGUACUGGUAGAAGAAGCACCGGCCAACUACGUGCCAGCAGCCGCAGUAACAC
rnacentral:rRNA from 1 species